rnacentral:rRNA from 1 species
CGGGGUGGAGUAACGCGUGGGUAACCUGCCUCACACAGGGGAGUAACAGUUGGAAACGGCUGCUAAUACCGCAUAAGCGCACAGUACCGCAUGGUACAGUGUGAAAAACUCCGGUGGUGUGAGAUGGACCCGCGUCUGAUUAGCUAGUUGGCAGGGUAACGGCCUACCAAGGCGACGAUCAGUAGCCGACCUGAGAGGGCGACCGGCCACAUUGGGACUGAGACACGGCCCAA